rnacentral:rRNA from 3 species
GGGUAGUUUGACUGGGGCGGUCUCCUCCUAAAGAGUAACGGAGGAGCACGAAGGUUGGCUAAUCCUGGUCGGACAUCAGGAGGUUAGUGCAAUGGCAUAAGCCAGCUUGACUGCGAGCGUGACGGCGCGAGCAGGUGCGAAAGCAGGUCAUAGUGAUCCGGUGGUUCUGAAUGGAAGGGCCAUCGCUCAACGGAUAAAAGGUACUCCGGGGAUAACAGGCUGAUACCGCCCAAGAGUUCAUAUCGACGGCGGUGUUUGGCACCUCGAUGUCGGCUCAUCACAUCCUGGGGCUGAAGUAGGUCCCAAGGGUAUGGCUGUUCGCCAUUUAAAGUGGUACGCGAGCUGGGUUUAGAACGUCGUGAGACAGUUCGGUCCCUAUCUGCCGUGGGCGCUGGAGAACUGAGGGGGGCUGCUCCUAGUACGAGAGGACCGGAGUGGACGCAUCACUGGUGUUCGGGUUGUCAUGCCAAUGGCACUGCCCGGUAGCUAAAUGCGGAAGAGAUAAGUGCUGAAAGCAUCUAAGCACGAAACUUGCCCCGAGAUGAGUUCUCCCUGACCCUUUAAGGGUCCUGAAGGAACGUUGAAGACGACGACGUUGAUAGGCCGGGUGUGUAAGCGCAGCGAUGCGUUGAGCUAACCGGUACUAAUGAACCGUGAGGCUUAACCUUACAACGCCGAAG